rnacentral:rRNA from 1 species
CCUACGGGGGGCUGCAGUAACGAAUCUUCCGCAAUGCACGCAAGUGUGACGGAGCGACGCCGCGUGCGGGACGAAGUCCUUCGGGAUGUAAACCGCUGUCAGGGGCCACCAAGUCCUGAGGAGCCCCAGAGGAAGGCACGGCUAACUCUGUGCCAGCAGCCGCGGUAAGACAGAGGUGCCGAGCGUUAGGCGGAAUCACUGGGCUUAAAGCGUGUGUAGGCGGACGGGUAAGUACCUUGUGAAAUCCCCCGGCUCAACCGGGGAACGGCUGGGUAUACUGCCCGUCUCGAGCGACUUAGGGGCAGACGGAACAAGUGGUGGAGCGGUGAAAUGCGUAGAUAUCACUUGGAACGCCGACGGUGAAAACAGUCUGCUGGGAGUCCGCUGACGCUGAGACACGAAAGCCAGGGGAGCGAACGGGAUUAGAUACCCUUGUAGUC